rnacentral:rRNA from 1 species
UGUUGGGUUAAGUCCCGCAACGAGCGCAACCCCUACUGCCAGUUGCUAACAGGCAACGCUGAGGACUCUGGCGGAACUGCCGGUGACAAACCGGAGGAAGGCGGGGAUGACGUCAAGUCAUCAUGGCCCUUAUGUCCAGGGCUACACACGUGCUACAAUGGACGGUACAGCGUGAAGCAAAACCGCGAGGUCAGAGCGAAACACGAAAAGCCGUCCGUAGUUCGGAUUGAAGUCUGAAACCCGACUUCAUGAAGGUGGAAUCGCUAGUAAUCGCGCAUCAGCAUGGCGCGGUGAAUACGUUCCCGGGCCUUGUACACACCGCCCGUCACACCAUCCGAGUUGGAGGUACCCGAAGCCGGCAGUCUAACCGCAAGGAGGACGCUGUCGAAGGUACGUUUAGUGAGGAGGGUGAAGUCGUAACAAGGUAGCCGUACUGGAAAGUGCGGCUGGAUCACCUCCUUUCU